CUACGGGUUGCUGCAGUGGGGAAUAUUGCACAAUGGAGGAAACUCUGAUGCAGCAACGCCGCGUGGAGGAUGACACUUUUCGGAGCGUAAACUCCUUUUAUAUAGGAAGAAGAUGACGGUACUAUAUGAAUAAGCGCCGGCUAACUCCGUGCCAGCAGCCGCGGUAAUACGGAGGGCGCAGGCGUUACUCGGAAUCACUGGGCGUAAAGAGCGUGUAGGCGGGUUAAAAAGUCAGAAGUGAAAUCCUAUAGCUUAACUAUAGAACUGCUUCUGAAACUCUUAAUCUAGAAUAUGGGAGAGGUAGAUGGAAUUUCUGGUGUAGGGGUAAAAUCCGUAGAGAUCAGAAGGAAUACCGAUUGCGAAGGCGAUCUACUAGAACAUUAUUGACGCUGAGACGCGAAAGCGUGGGGAGCAAACAGGAUUAGAUACCCCUGUAGUC
rnacentral:rRNA from 1 species